AGCGAACGCUGGCGGCAGGCUUAACACAUGCCAGUCGAGCGGGCACUUUCGGGUGUCCGCGGCGGACGGGUGAGUAACGCGUGGGAACGUGCCCUCUGGUUCGGAAUAACUCAGGGAAACUUGAGCUAAUACCGGAUACGCCCUUUUGGGGAAAGGCUUGCUGCCGGAGGAUCGGCCCGCGUCUGAUUAGCUAGUUGGUGAGGUAACGGCUCACCAAGGCGAUGAUCAGUAGCUGGUCUGAGAGGAUGAUCAGCCACACUGGGACUGAGACACGGCCCAGACUCCUACGGGAGGCAGCAGUGGGGAAUAUUGGACAAUGGGCGCAAGCCUGAUCCAGCCAUGCCGCGGGAGUGAUGAAGGCCUUAGGGUUGUAAAGCUCUUUUAUCCGGGACGAUAAUGACGGUACCGGAGGAAUAAGCCCCGGCUAACUUCGUG
rnacentral:rRNA from 1 species